rnacentral:rRNA from 1 species
UACGUAGGGCGCAAGCGUUGUCCGGAAUUAUUGGGCGUAAAGAGCUCGUAGGCGGCUUGUUACGUCGGGUGUGAAAGCCCGGGGCUUAACCCCGGGUCUGCAUUCGAUACGGGCUAGCUAGAGUGUGGUAGGGGAGAUCGGAAUUCCUGGUGUAGCGGUGAAAUGCGCAGAUAUCAGGAGGAACACCGGUGGCGAAGGCGGUUCUCUGGGCCUUACCUGACGCUGAGGAGCGAAAGCGUGGGGAGCGAACAGG